CUGGGCGGCUGCAAGGGAGGGGUGCCAGAGCAGGAGGACCUGAGCUGUUUCAUAGACAAGCUUCUGUGGAAACUUAAACAUUAUUCAAUAGAACAGUUUCCUGGAAAACCUUUUGAAAGUGGUCACAGACGCUGCCCUGCUCUGGUGCCCUGAUCUGCCAGCAUGCUGUUUUAUUACCUCCAGAAGGUUCAGUGCCAAGACACAGCCCAAGAGUUACAGCUUAAAGUGAACUAGGUUCAUAAAAAUAAUUUUCUGCCUUCUUUCAAGAAGGAAAAUUGUCGCUUUCAGCUCUCAGUAAUUCCAUGUAUCUAUCACUUCUCUUCUGGCUUCAUCACCCAACCUUUCAACUAUCCCUUCAAGAUGAUGGGUAAGAGUCAGCGAUUGUUAACUAAAGGGAGGACUGCUGGACUCACUCACUUCUACCCUGUUUCAUCGCCAAUGGCAAGCAGAGGCCCAGAAUGCCUACAUGACCUUCACAGGACUACACAAUAUGGAAACUCAGUCUCAGAUGUCACCUGACAGCCAGCUUGGCAGGCGAGGACAAGAGUCCAAGUCUCGCAAACCUCCAGUCCAGUCCUCUUUGCAUUGUUAUAGUAUCACGCUAUUUCCAUUUUUAUACAUAAUUUCACUUACAAGACUUCAGAGUCAUUAACACCAUAAAUAUUCAUGAAUUCUAUUGGUAUUUUCCAACUGU